AUAGCACUCUGCUGUCAGAUCAGGCUUACAAACAGCUUGGCAUACAAACAGUUACUGCUUGUGUGCGUGCGGAUUUAGGGUCUCCGUCUGCUAAUGCCCCAGAUUUGAGCCUCAGGAGCUGAUAACGGAAAGCAUUGCCUAAGCAAGCUGGAACCUAAAGCACAGAACCCCCUGCUCUGAAGUGGAAAGAAUUAAAAACAUUGAAGAAAAAAAAAAAAGCUGUAUCUAUAGCAGGAAGGGCCAGGCUUGGAGGGCAAGUCUGUGCAGAAGAAAUCAUCCUUGACCUGCAUGUACUCCCUUCCAGGAGGGCAUGCCUCAGCCUCUCCGCAACUUGAGUUGGUCUCCAUGUUUUACAAGUGCCUUCUCUGUCCCAUCUAUAAAACAGAAACUGUAGCAUC